ACUUGCUUUCUUUGCUGGCGACCGGCGCACGGGUGAGUAACACGUAUCCAACCUGCCCUUUACUCGGGGAUAGCCUUUCGAAAGAAAGAUUAAUACCCGAUAGCAUAAUGAUUCCGCAUGGUUUCAUUAUUAAAGGAUUCCGGUAAAGGAUGGGGAUGCGUUCCAUUAGGUUGUUGGUGGGGUAACGGCCCACCAAACCGACGAUGGAUAGGGGUUCUGAGAGGAAGGUCCCCCACAUUGGUACUGAGACACGGACCAA
rnacentral:rRNA from 1 species